UUCCAUCCAGCACUCACCCUGGCUGCCUUGCUUUCCUCUGCAUGCCUGUGGAGUGGCCUCUACGAGGCUGGGAGUCCUGGACGGCAGAGGCACCAGUGAUCACAUCAGUGACCUGGGAGAUCCACCCAUCCUGCCCCCUGACACUGGUCUGCUCAGCCUCUAAGAGGAAGAGGGAUUCGACAUCCAGUCCUCUGAUCCUGCUUUGGUCUUUCUCAUGACAACAUCCUGAAGGCACUUUGAGUCCAGUCACCAGUCUCCUUACAGAUAUCCAAAGACGGAGAAACAGUUCCCAUGUGGCUCCUCAUAGGUUUCCUGGGAUUCUGCCAUGCACCAGGCUGCACGAAGCCCUGAGAGUGACAUCCAGGGAAGGCAUAGAGUCCUCUCUCAAGAUGUUUAUAAGAUGACAGGGGGCCAAGGCUCUUGCAGAAGUGACAGCUGCCCUGUGAGGUUAAGAAGGUAUAGUAACUUGGACGCUGACCCUCAGCAUGUAGUGAGGCAAGAUUCCCCUCAUAUUUGUUUAAACCUGUUGUGGAGGCAUUCCUGUGACAGUGAUUGUGCAGUCUGCAGAGGGUCUCUGGGUCCUGGGAGACAUUGGCCUAGGAGACAUAGGGAAGGCCAGGGGUCAAGAGUCAGGUGGGAACACAGGAAGUUGUUAUGGAUGUAACUUAGUGGAGUGCAGAAUGAGAAGUGUGCUGUCAGUAGGGUUUCAUGGCAGGAGGUGUUGGGUGCAGGCCCAGGUCCCAGGGGGCUUAGGAGGUCACGGUGAGCCCACUGAGGCUCUGGGUCAUAGUUGGCAUAUCUAAGGUGAAGCCCUAGGAGGGGGACCAGGAGCAGCAUGGACUGCUGGGAGUGUGGAUCCACCUACACAUUUCAGGAGCAGGAGGCUGGGAAAGGGAGGGAAGAGGUCCAAGUGUCUCCGAGGGUCUUGACUGAUG